rnacentral:lncRNA from 10 species
GCCUCAUGAGGUCCUGACAAUAUGUUCCCAAAGUGGUCAGAGCACUGUUUGAUUUUACGGAUUCCAGGGAGACAUGAGACAUCAAUCAACAUUUCCAAGAUGAGCAUUGGUUUGGUCUGGAAAGGGACAACUCAAAGCAAAGGUGGGAAGACUGAAAGCAGGGAGAGGACUUCCAGGUCAUAGUUGUUAUUGGAAAGAGGUCCCGAUCCAGAUCCCGAGAUGGUUCUUGGAUCUCACACAGGAAAAAAUUCAGGGAUCUCACUCUGUGUGUAGACUGGAGUACGGUGACAUGACCACAGUGUGCUGUAGCCUCAACCUCCUGGGCUCAAGCUAUCCAAAGGAGCUGGGACUACAGGCACACACAGCUAUGGGUGGCUAUUUUUUUUUUUAAUUUUGUAGAUACAGGGUCUCACUAAGUUGCCCAGCCUGGUCUCAAUCUCCCGACCUCAAGCAAUCCUCCUGCCUUUGCCUCCCAAAGUGCUGAAAUUACAGGCAUGAGCCUCUAUGCCUAGUCUGUAAUAUAUUCUUUAGACUAUUAAAAAUUUGGGUAAUAUGUAUGUAUAUUCACAUCUAUUGAAUCUACUUGUGUAAUAUUAUCUGUUUAAAUGUUAAUUGUUAAGUGAACUGUAUGUUUUCAGCUAUAUAUCUCAGCAAUAUAUUCCAAUUUAGAUACAAUACUGUUUUUCAAGGGAGGUGGAAAUAUUUUGUACAUUAACCAUGCAAAAUAAAAUUGUACUUUGAAAUACAUUGAUUUUUAGAUGUUAAAACAACUUUGCAUUCUUGGGACAAAUCUGAGAUAAUUGUUUAUGAUCCAUUUAACAUGCUGCUGUAUUCAGUUGGCUAGCAUUUUGUUGAGCAUUUUUACAUCUGUUAUAAGAGAUAUCAGACUGUGUGUUUUUUUAUUUUGUUUUCUUUGGUUUUCAUAUCCAGAUAUUAUUGGACUAAAAUAAAGAGUUGGGAAGUAUUUCUUUCUGUUCUGUUUUUAGAAGCAUUUAUGAGUAAUUGGUAUCAGUUAUUUAAGUGCUUGUUAGAAUACAGUAGCAAAGUCUUUUUUUCUGGGUCUUUGUGAAUAUAUUUUUGGUUAGUAAUUUAAUCUCUGUGCAUGUACUUCUUUUCAGGGUUUUCCUUUUUUUUUUAGUCACUUUCAGCAUUUUGUGUUUCUCUAGGAACUUUUCUAUUUUAUGUAAGCUAUUCAAUUUGUUGGCAUACAAUUGGUUAUAGUAUUCCUUUAUAAUAUUUGAGAAAUUUCUGAAUAGUUGGUAGUAAUGUCACCUAAUACUUUAGCUGUGGAAUCAGGUCUCCCUUCCUUCAUUCUUGGUUAAUUGAACUAAAAGUUUUUCAAUUUUGUUGAAUUCUUGAAGCACCAGUUUUUGGUUUUGUUGCACUUCUGUAUUUUUUUCUAUUUUAGAUUUUACUAAUUUCCAGUAUAAACUUUAUUCUUUUUUCAAUAUACUUACUUUUAGUUUUCUCUUUUUUCCAUUUUCCUAAGGCAGUCAGUUAGAUUAUUGAUUUGAGAACUUUCUUCUAUCUGAAUAUAGACAUUUUUAACUAUAUAUUUCUCUCUAUGCACUAUUUAGCUACAUCUCAUAAGUUUUUGCAUGUGUUUUAUAUUUUUAUUUAUUUCAAAUUAUUUUCUAAUUUUCCUUGUGAUUAUUUAUUUGACCCAUUUGUUGUAUAGAAGUGUAUUGUUUAAUUUUCACAUAUUUGUGAGUUUCCAAAUUUUCUUUAUUAUUGGUUCCUAGUUCCAUUCCAUUAUAACUGAACCAAAAUAAUUUGUACUAUUUCAAUCCUUAUAACCUUAUUUGUCAUUUUUUGUUCUCUUUAUUUGUUCCUUAAUUUCUGUUACCAUUUGCUGUCAUUACUACGGACUUAUACAGCCUUGGUCUCACCUACAUCCUUCAUGAUAUUAUUCACACUAAUAUCACAUAUUUGUUUGCUAUAUAAUCCAGAUACAAUUAUAUACAUGUUGUCUUAUACAAUUGUUUUUAAAUUUGUUAAGAGAAGAAAUAAGAAAUAUCUGCUUCUGUGUUAAUUUUUCAAUUGCAUAAUUACCUUUGCUGUUGCUCUUUGUUUUUGUAUGUGUACGUAAAUUAUUUUCUGCAGUCACUUACUUUUAUCCUAAAGAACUUCCUUUGCUAUUUAUUAUAAAGCAGGUUUGCUAACAACACAUUCUCUUAAUUUUUAAAUAGUUUUGAAAUGUCUUUGUCUUCAUUGUUGAAAGAUAUUUUUUCUAAAUAUAAGAUUUUUGAUUGCCUUUUUUUUUCUCAAAGCAC